UACGUAGGGUGCGAGCGUUAAUCGGAAUUACUGGGCGUAAAGCGUGCGCAGGCGGUGAUGUAAGACCGAUGUGAAAUCCCCGGGCUUAACCUGGGAACUGCAUUGGUGACUGCAUCGCUCGAGUAUGGCAGAGGGGGGUAGAAUUCCACGUGUAGCCGUGAAAUGCGUAGAGAUGUGGAGGAAUACCGAUGGCGAAGGCAGCCCCCUGGGUCAAUACUGACGCUCAUGCACGAAAGCGUGGGGAGCAAACAGG
rnacentral:rRNA from 1 species